rnacentral:rRNA from 1 species
CUUGGUCAUUUAGAGGAAGUAAAAGUCGUAACAAGGUUUCCGUAGGUGAACCUGCGGAAGGAUCAUUAUUGAAUUUAAUGAGGGGAUAUUUGGUUGUAGCUGGCUCAUGAAUUUGGGCAUGUGCACACCUAUCUCUUUCAUCCACACACACCUGUGCACUUGUGAGGCAGAUGGGGAAUUUAUUGAUUGUUUUUUAAGAACAAUUGGUGCUGGACCCUCUGUCUACUCAAUACAUAAACUCAAUUUAUUUAGAAAUGAAUGUAAUGGAUGUAACGCAUCUAAUACUAAGUUUCAACAACGGAUCUCAUGGCUCUCGCAUCGAUGAAGAACGCAGCGAAAUGCGAUAAGUAAUGUGAAUUGCAGAAUUCAGUGAAUCAUCGAAUCUUUGAACGCACCUUGCGCUCCUUGGUAUUCCUUGGAGCAUGCCUGUUUGAGUAUCAUGAAAUCUUCAAAGUAAAUCUUUUGUUAACUCAAUUGGUUCUACUUUGGUAUUGGAGGUCUUUGCAGCUUCACACCUGCUCCUCUUUGUUCAUUAGCUGGAUCUCAGUGUUAUGCUUGGUUCCACUCAGCGUGAUAAGUUAUCUAUCGCUGAGGACACUGUAACAGGUGGCCAAGGGAAAUGCAGAUGAACCGCUUCUAGUAGUCCAUUGACUUGGACAAUAUUUUUAUGAUCUGAUCUCAAAUCAGGUAGGACUACCCGCUGAACUUAAGCAUAUCAAUAAGCGGAGGAAAAGAAACUAACAAGGAUUCCCCUAGUAACGGCGAGUGAAGCGGGAAGAGCUCAAAUUUAAAAUCUGGCAGUGUAUUCUGUCCGAGUUGUAGUCUAGAGAAGCAUCAUCCGUGCUGGACCGUGUACAAGUCUCCUG